GACGAACGCUGGCGGCGUGCUUAACACAUGCAAGUCGAGCGGUAAGGCCCUUUCGGGGGUACACGAGCGGCGAACGGGUGAGUAACACGUGGGUGACCUGCCCUCAGCUCUGGGAUAAGCCUGGGAAACUGGGUCUAAUACCGGAUAUGACUCCAUGACGCAUGUUGUGGGGUGGAAAGCCUUGUGCGGCUGAGGAUGGGCCCGCGGCCUAUCAGCUUGUUGGUGGGGUGANGGCCCUACCAAGGCGACGACGGGUAGCCGGCCUGAGAGGGCGACCGGCCACACUGGGACUGAGACACGGCCCAGACUCCUACGGGAGGCAGCAGUGGGGAAUCUUGCGCAAUGGGCGAAAGCCUGACGCAGCGACGCCGCGUGAGGGAUGACGGCCU
rnacentral:rRNA from 1 species